AUCGAUCGUGGGUCCAGGCGGGUGGGUGGAUUGGUGCUGGUCUACCCUCACCCUCCUUCCAUGCACUCAGCCAGGUCUCUUUCGCUUCAGAAGUGUUGGGCCCACUUGUUAGUCUCUUUGGGUAGGUGUGGAGCCAGGUGAAAGCUUGCGGGGUGGCUCGGUGCGCGAUUGGUGGUGUGGAUGUCGGAUGGGACGCGAGCAGUAAAACCUAGCUACCAAUCCGCUCACUUCCUCGAGCCCCACGCAACUCCACUUUCUCUUCGUUCCUCUCCUCCUUCUCGAUUCCCAGCGCGUGGCCGCCGCCGCUCAUCAUUCUCCUCUUCUCUCCCGUGCCACCAGGUCGCUGUUGCGUGAAUCCGGGCGGAUCCGGUCCCUAGGCGGCAUGAGGCUGCGGAUCCGACGAGGUCACGGCGGCGGCCGGCGGCUUUCUUGUUGUGCUCUCUGAGAGCCGCGGGAGGAGAAGGAACAGAGGAGGGAGUGAUGUGGCAGGGCGGCGGUUGCUUCGCUGUUGUUUUUGGCCGUGGGGAGGCGUGCUGAACCUGCAGGCUCGACCCAGCAGGAGCGGCAGGUGCAGAGGCGCGUGCGAGGAGCGCCGUCGGCCCAUCGUUCUUUCUUCGUCAGGAAGGGCACAGCCUGCUACUCAAGCCUCUCUCCUUCUCUCCUUCCAGAGCAGGAGAGGCACGGGCGCCCCCACACUGGAGAGAUGGACGAAGACAUGAAGCUUUCGCGGAGACGACGAGGUGGCCGCUGCUGCACCCCCAUGCCGUGCACACGAAGAUUCCCGUCCUCUCUGCCAUCGAUAACGACACUUCUCAUCGAUAACGGCACUUCUCGGCAGGCGCAGACCGCAUGGUCGUCUUCCUCUCUGGCCCAUCAGAUUCAGACCCUAUCCCUCUUCCUCUGCAUCUCUGUUAAAAUAUGCUCAGGUCAACUAGGAGAUGAUGCAAGCCAAGGCGCUCACAGUGAUUUAAGAUGGUAUGUUCUGAACUUCCUUUGGUUUAUGAGACGAAAAGAAUGUUAUAUCUGCAUGCUACUACAGUUUAGGCAUUGAUGUUAUUGAGCAUCUUUUGGUCCUGAUGCCAUAUUUAUUGCAGUUACAAAAUUAUUAACAUUGUUUUUCAUUUUUCAUUUGUUGGUAUAAUUUUUUGAGACCAAAAUGAGAAACCAUCAUUUUAUUUUCAUUUCACGUUUGGGUGAUCAAUAGAAGACAAAUGAAUACACUGAUGGAAGGCCAUGUCAAAGAACAUUUCUAUUUUGUAUUUUCUUUUUAUUCAGGAUCUACUAUAAUUUCUCAGCAAGUGUUUAUUCCUGAAAUUGAUCGUAUGUGAUAUCUGAAAUGAAACAACACAAGGCCUUGUCUCGCUUUGUAUUUUGAGGUAAUGUCGACGAACCUCAUGUGA